rnacentral:rRNA from 1 species
AACGAACGCUGGCGGCAGGCUUAACACAUGCAAGUCGAGGGGCAGCAUGAUUGUAGCAAUACAAUUGAUGGCGACCGGCAAACGGGUGCGGAACACGUACACAACCUUCCAAUAAGUGGGGAAUAGCCCAGAGAAAUUUGGAUUAAUACCCCGUAACAUAACGAUGUGGCAUCACAUUGUUAUUAUAGAUUUUUCGCUUAUUGAUGGGUGUGCGGGCUGAUUAGAUAGUUGGCGGGGUAACGGCCCACCAAGUCUACGAUCAGUAGCUGAUGGGCGGGUAUGAUCAGCCACACGGGCACGGAGACACGGGCCCGACUCCUACGGGAGGCAGCAGUAAGGAAUAUUGGACAAUGGACGCAAGUCUGAUCCAGCCAUGCCGCGUGAAGGAUUAAGGUCCUCUGGAUUGUAAACUUCUUUUAUAAGGGACGAAAAAAGGCUUUUCUAAGUCGUCUGACGGUACCUUAUGAAUAAGCACCGGCUAACUCCGUGCCAGCCGCCGCGGUAAGAC